GCCUACGGGAGGCAGCAGUGGGGGAUAUUGGCCAAUGGGGGAAACCCUGAUCCAGCGAUGCCGCGUGAGGGAAGAAGGUUUUCGGAUUGUAAACCUCUGUGGAGGGGGACGAUAAUGACGGUACCUGACUAAGAAGCCCCGGCUAACUACGUGCCAGCAGCCGCGGUAAUACGUAGGGGGCAAGCGUUAUCCGGAUUUACUGGGUGUAAAGGGAGCGUAGGGGGCAGGGCAAGUCAGAUGUGAAAACCCGGGGCUCAACUCCGGGAGUGGAUUUGAAACUGUACAGCUAGAGUGCAGGAGAGGUA
rnacentral:rRNA from 1 species